ACAGUAUAUCGUCAUCUCUGAGAUGGAUAGGUUGCUGGAUGGAUUCCUUACAGAGAAGGUGACACAGAUUUGCUGCCUAGCUGCCAAAGAUGGGUUCUCUGCAUGAAUCAAAAUCUGUUGGCACAGAUAUGGGGUGCUAGAUUUGGAGACUAUGGGAUAUUUUAGCUCCGACUAUAUUUUUUUAGCAAUGGGUGCUUUGUUGGCGAGUUAACAGCAAGUACACAGAUAAAGCUUCUUGGCAGUGAGUUGUAGGGUUGUCAAGCUAUUGGAAUUGUUGCCAUACUUCAAGGUGCGUGUGUACUCUUGUAGCUUAUGGACAGGGAGUCAUAGGGCUGUGGGCUGCUGGAUUUGCUACUGCCUCCCAAGGACUUGGAUUUGGGACGAUCAUCACGACGUGAGAUUUAUUUUAUUAAGAUCGACAGAUUUAAGG